rnacentral:rRNA from 2 species
GUCUGCAUGGAGCCGACCUUGAAAUACCACCCUUUAAUGUUUGAUGUUCUAACGUGGACCCGUAAUCCGGGUUGCGGACAGUGUCUGGUGGGUAGUUUGACUGGGGCGGUCUCCUCCUAAAGAGUAACGGAGGAGCACGAAGGUUGGCUAAUCCUGGUCGGACAUCAGGAGGUUAGUGCAAUGGCAUAAGCCAGCUUGACUGCGAGCGUGACGGCGCGAGCAGGUGCGAAAGCAGGUCAUAGUGAUCCGGUGGUUCUGAAUGGAAGGGCCAUCGCUCAACGGAUAAAAGGUACUCCGGGGAUAACAGGCUGAUACCGCCCAAGAGUUCAUAUCGACGGCGGUGUUUGGCACCUCGAUGUCGGCUCAUCACAUCCUGGGGCUGAAGUAGGUCCCAAGGGUAUGGCUGUUCGCCAUUUAAAGUGGUACGCGAGCUGGGUUUAGAACGUCGUGAGACAGUUCGGUCCCUAUCUGCCGUGGGCGCUGGAGAACUGAGGGGGGCUGCUCCUAGUACGAGAGGACCGGAGUGGACGCAUCACUGGUGUUCGGGUUGUCAUGCCAAUGGCACU